AAUUUUACAUAUAUAUAAUUUGUUUUUUUUCUCAUAUGUUCAGAUCAUUACGAAUCCGAACUGAUUUUGAAUGAUCUUUCUUUGCUCUUGGUAUAGACUCGUUUGGAACCAAGAUAAAACCAUAAUAUGGUUGUCAAUAAUUUUUAUUUGGUAUGAAAUUAUAUCUAGAACUUCAUAUCAUUGUUAGUAUCUCAAUAAAAUAAUAUAUAUCAAUAAAAGAUUAGUAGUCUAUUACACGUGUAGAACAGCUUGUCAAAAUAUGAGAGAAAGAAUAAUGAUAAAUUUUUAACUUAUGACGUGUUGGAAAAUGAAAAAGGUGGGAGAAAAAAUUAAUCUUCCAUCCACUUAAAAUUUUAAAAUGUAUUAAAGUUAUUAAUUUAUUUUUUUUAAUUUAUAAAAAUGAGGUUAGGCUGAAAAUAUAUAUUUUUUUAACAAGGCUAAACAAGUCA
rnacentral:lncRNA from 1 species